rnacentral:SRP_RNA from 1 species
GUGCAACUGGGGCAGUAGCGGCGCCUUGUACCUGUGAAAUCCGCUAUAGCAGGAGUAUGCUUGAUUGAGGGCAAAAUGUUUUGAAGCAGCCCGGUAAAAGAAGGCGUUGACGUUUGGGUCUUCCGCAACGAAAAUUUACGAAUCAUGUCAGGUCGGGAACGAAGCAGCAUUAAGUAAAACCUUUCGUGUGCCGGGAGGCAGCCUGGGCUGAGCAUUUCUUUUCCCGGAAGCGUUUGGGAUAUGCGUUCGAGGUCAAGUGCACG